CCUACGGGUGGCAGCAGUAGGGAAUAUUGCUCAAUGGGGGAAACCCUGAAGCAGCAACGCCGCGUGGAGGAUGACGGUUUUCGGAUUGUAAACUCCUUUUGUUAGAGAAGAUAAUGACGGUAUCUAACGAAUAAGCACCGGCUAACUCCGUGCCAGCAGCCGCGGUAAUACGGAGGGUGCAAGCGUUACUCGGAAUCACUGGGCGUAAAGGGCGCGUAGGCGGGAUAGCAAGUCAGAUGUGAAAUCCUAUGGCUUAACCAUAGAACUGCAUUUGAAACUGUUAUUCUAGAGUAUGGGAGAGGUAGGUGGAAUUCGUGGUGUAGGGGUAAAAUCCGUAGAGAUCAAGAGGAAUACUCAUUGCGAAGGCGACCUGCUAGAACAUAACUGACGCUGAUGCGCGAAAGCGUGGGGAGCAAACAGGAUUAGAUACCCGAGUAGUC
rnacentral:rRNA from 1 species